CACUCGAUCUGUGCACAUGAAGGGCAACAGUUAGUGAUCAUAAAAACAUGUGCCUUAACCCUUCAUACAUACAUUUAACCGGUAGCCAGUUGUUUUUUGUAUUGCUGUUUGUCUAAGCACGUUUGGCUAUUCUUUAGCUACGCGUUUCUCGCAAAAAUAGUGACCGGAAACUGAACUCACAAUUGUCGCUCGGUGAGGUUGUCUCAACGAGUGCCCGCUAGACAGGUUUCUUUGGGGAAUCAGGAAGAGAUGGAGGCUACCUGCAAAUGCUAACGCGCCGCUAGCGAGAUCCGUUUUGCAACGUUUGUUCAUCUGACAGUGUUGACCUUGCAGUGGUUAUGGAUGCAUUCGGGUCCUGAUUGAACUCACACAUCAUGGCAAUGGAUGCUGCAGUCUCCAUCUGUGGUCGUCCUGUGAUCCCCAACCACACUCAGGCGGACUAUCACUUUGUCCGUUCCUUCGUAGCUGGAGGUGUAGCAGGAUGAUGUGCCAAAUACACCAUCGCUCCUUUGGACAGAGUGAAGAUCUUACUGUAAGCCAACAGUCCCCACAACAAAGACCUGGGUAAGAUCUGGAUAACUCUGCUGCAGUGGAAGUGUUACUGAACAUGUAAACAUGUCUGUCUUUUGUCAGUUGGUUUGUCAUUGUCACUCAUGUAUCCCCCCUCCCAUGGAAAUCUGACACUGGUUUUCCUUGUUCUCACACCUGGUUGCAGCGAAAACGAAACUAUGACAUCCCUCCACACAAUUAUCUCUUGCUUAUUUCUCUCCUUCACGCUCUCUCCCCUCCCUCUCUCCUCGAGGUGUGGUAGCUACUCUCCGUGUCAUGCCAAGGAAGGAGGGUUACCUGGGGCUUUAUAAAGGCAAUGGGCCCAUGAUGGUCAGGAUAUUUCCCUACGGAGCUAUCCAGUUCAUGGCCUUUGACAAAUACAAGAAGAUCCUUAGUUAACAGCUGGGCGUCUCUGGACACAUCCACAUGGUCGGUUCUAUGGCAGGGAUGACAGCAGUGAUAUGUACGUACCCUCUUGAUGUGAUCAGAGCCUGUCUGGCUUACUAGAUGAAAGGACACCAUCGCUACACGGGCAUCAGAAAUGCCUUCCAGACCAUAUACCUAAAGGAGGCAUCCCUGGGACAGAUCCCAACCCUUAUAGGCAUGACUCCAUAUGCAGGGUUCUUGUUCUUUACCUUCAGCACGUUGAAGACUUCCGUCCUCAGACAACCCAGAGGUGCUGAUGCUGAAGACCCACGUCAACCUGCUCUGUGGAAGGGGUGGCCGGAGCUAUCGCACAGACCAUAUCACCUACCCUAUUCUCCUCUCCCUGUUCCCCACUUUUCUUCUACCUCUACAUGUCUUCUCUACCUGUUCGCCUCUUCUCCUCUCCCUCUUCCCCCUUCUCUUCUCCAUCUCCUCUACAUGUUCUUCUCUUCUCCACUCCCUGUUCACCUCUUCUUCGUCUCCUCUACUUGUUCGCCUCUUCUCCUCUCCCUCUUCCCCCUUCUCUUCUCCAUCUCCUCUACAUGUUCUUCUCUUCUCCACUCCCUGUUCACCUCUUCUUCGUCUCCUCUACUUGUUCUUCUCUUCUCCUCUCCCUCUUCCCCCUUCUCUUCUCCAUCUCCUCUACAUGUUCUUCUCUUCUCCACUCCCUGUUCACCUCUUCUUUGUCUCCUCUACCUGUUCUUCUCCUCUCCCUGUUCCCCCCUUCUCUUCUCUGUCUCCUGUCCAGAGUACUCCUCUUCUCCGUCUCCUCUCCCAGCUAUCCUCUGGAUGUUGCCAGGAGGAGGAUGCAGUUAGGAGUGGUGCUUCCUGAAUCUGACAAAUGUCGUACCCUGACCAAGACUCUUGAGUAUGUAUACAGUCAGUAUGGGGUGAAGAAGGGUCUGUACAGAGGCCUGUCUCUCAACUACAUCUGCUGUGUGCCCUCACAGGCUGUGGCCUUUUUCACCUAUGAGUUGAUGAAGCAAACCCUCCACCUCAACUAGCUGCUCCCUCACCAUCCACCUCCACCCUUCAUCUCUGCAUAGCGGGAAUGAGACACGUUCACUGGGGAUAAACGUUCUGAAAUGUUUAGAAAGAUCCCUAGCAGCUGUCUAUCUCAAAACAGCCUGACUGAGAGUGUUCUCUGGGGCUAUAUGUUCUGAAAUGUUAAGGGAAUAUUGCCUAUUAGAUAUGUUCAUUUUGCCCUAGUAAACGUUUUCAGUUUUAAGGAGGUCGGCUUCCAUUCGGAGGUGUUGACCCCUGCUAUCAGAGGCGGCCAUUGUGGCUCAGCCACUGGAGCCGAGCCGAGCCUAGUAGCUGCUUACCCCAGUCGGAAAGCAGAGGAAUGCUAGGCACUGGGCCCCAUGGCAGUGCUAAUCCAGUGCCCAUGUCUGUGUCUGUUCCUAUAAUGUUGUGCUGAAACCAACCGCCAAACCUGUGGCUUGGCUUUGGACAACACCCCGGCAACUAUUGCCAUGGAUACCUAUAGACAAUGGCUUCUUCCUCCGCUUCGAUGGGCGGCUAUGGGCAAUGAACCCCUAACAACACUCGUUGGUAAUGCCAUAAAAACCCAAUUCUGUACACUGCCCCCCACCCUACCCCACCACCCGCUCCUAAGAAGUCACCCAGCCAAUGAUGGAGGGGAAAGUCACACUGGACAAUCUGGCUUAUCCAAUCGGAGGCCUUCUUUUCAUCAUGUACCUACCUGACACUGUUUGUUGUGAGUACAAAUCUAGACACAUAAUGAGACAAGGAUUUAAAUGUGUAGUAUGUCAGUUAUAAGAGUGAAGAUUCUAGGACAACUAUAAAAUAUUUAAUGAGAAUAAAGAAACACUCCCCAA